rnacentral:rRNA from 3 species
CUGAAAUCAGGCGGGAUUACCCGC